GACGAACGCUGGCGGCGCGCCUAACACAUGCAAGUCGAGCGAGAACCAGGGCUUCGGCCCUGGGGACAGCGGCGAACGGGUGAGUAACACGUGGGUAACCUGCCCUCGGCACCGGGAUAGCCCGGGGAAACCCGGAUUAAUACCGGACAGCCUCAUGAGCUCUCGGGCUCGUGAGAAAAGGUGGCUUCGGCUUCCGGCUGAGGAUGGGCCCGCGGCCGAUUAGCUUGUUGGUGAGGUAACGGCUCACCAAGGCGAUGAUCGGUAGCUGGUCUGAGAGGACGAUCAGCCACACUGGGACUGAGACACGGCCCAGACUCCUACGGGAGGCAGCAGUGGGGAAUCUUGCGCAAUGGGCGAAAGCCUGACGCAGCGACGCCGCGUGAGGGAUGACGGCCUGGU
rnacentral:rRNA from 1 species